rnacentral:rRNA from 1 species
GACGAACGCUGGCGGCGUGCUUAACACAUGCAAGUCGAACGGAAAGGCCCUGCUUUUGUGGGGUGCUCGAGUGGCGAACGGGUGAGUAACACGUGAGUAACCUGCCCUUGACUUUGGGAUAACUUCAGGAAACUGGGGCUAAUACCGGAUAGGAGCUCCUGCUGCAUGGUGGGGGUUGGAAAGUUUCGGCGGUUGGGGAUGGACUCGCGGCUUAUCAGCUUGUUGGUGGGGUAGUGGCUUACCAAGGCUUUGACGGGUAGCCGGCCUGAGAGGGUGACCGGCCACAUGGGGACUGAGAUACGGCCCAGACUCCUACGGGAGGCAGGAGAGGAGAAUAUUGCACAGUGGGCGGAAGCCUGAUGCAGCAACGACGAGUGCGGGAUGACGGCCUUCGGGUUGUAAACCGCUUUCGCCUGUGACGAAGCGUGAGUGACGGUAAGGGGUAAAGAAGCACCGGAUAACUACGUG